rnacentral:rRNA from 1 species
AAACGGGUUUCGUAGGUGACCUGCGGAAGGACAUU